GUGAUUCGGGGUGCAGCAGGCGCGAAACCUUUACACUGCGGGCAACCGCGAUAAGGGGACCCCGAGUGCCAGCACCUAGUGCUGGCUGUCCCGCUGUCUAAACAACAGUGGUUAGCAAGGGCCGGGCAAGACCGGUGCCAGCCGCCGCGGUAACACCGGCGGCCCGAGUGGUAGCCGCUAUUAUUGGGUUUAAAGGGUCCGUAGCCGGCCUGUUAAGUCUCUUGGGAAAUCUGGCGGCUCAAUCGUCAGGCGGCCAAGAGAUACUGACAGGCUUGGGACCGGGAGAGGUGGGAGGUACUCCAUGGGUAGGGGUGAAAUCUCGUAAUCCUUGGGGGACCACCGAUGGCGAAGGCAUCCCACCAGAACGGGUCCGACGGUGAGGGACGAAAGCUGGGGGCACGAACCGGAUUAGAUACCCGGGUAGUCCCAGCCUUAAACGAUGCUCGCUAGGUGUCAGGUGCGGUGCGACCGCAUCUGGUGCCGCAGUGAAAACUUGAAGCGAGUCACCUGGGAAGUACGGUCGCAAGGCUGAAACUUAAAGGAAUUGGCGGGGGAGCACAAUCGAAU
rnacentral:rRNA from 1 species